UACGUAGGGUGCAAGCGUUGUCCGGAAUUAUUGGGCGUAAAGAGCUCGUAGGCGGUCUGUCACGUCGGCUGUGAAAACCCCGAGGCUCAACCUCGGGCCUGCAGUCGAUACGGGCAAACUAGAGUACUGCAGGGGAGACUGGAAUUCCUGGUGUAGCGGUGAAAUGCGCAGAUAUCAGGAGGAACACCGGUGGCGAAGGCGGGUCUCUGGGCAGUAACUGACGCUGAGGAGCGAAAAGCGUGGGGAGCGAACAGG
rnacentral:rRNA from 1 species